UUUCAUAUCCCUAAUCUCCCUGUAUCUUUCUCUUGCUCCGCCGCCUUUCACAUCGCUCUUAUUGACAAGAUGGCCGUCACAGAAGGACAACAAGUCAUGGCUCUCAUCAGCAAGCGUCUCCGUGCUCACCGCAAGAGGUACAACCGUAUUACUGAGAUGGAAGAGGCGGUCUCUCAGGGCAAAACCCUAAACAAGGAGCAAGAAGAAGCCAUCCGCUCGAAGCCAAUCGUCACCGCCCUAAUCGAAGAGCUCGAAAAGCUCCGUCUUCCCCCUUUCUCCUCCUCCUUCCGCGGCCGGUUCAGAAGAGAUCAACCUCCCUGCUAAGAAAAACAAAAAGAAAAAGGAACGUAAGGAGGAAGCUGAGGAGGAAAAAGUAACUGAGAAAGACGUGACGGACCCUGAGGGUUGCAAGAUCUCUGAUGGUCUCGAUGCUGGUGAGGUCUCGAAGGACAAUAUUUCUCCGUGCAGCGUGAGCUCACAAGAUGGUACGACGUCGCCGCCCCCAGCGACUAAUGGAAAGCCACGACGUAAACGGAAUAAGGCGAAGAAACCUCAGACUUCGAACUGAUCGAGUCUCCGACUUUUGUACGAAGCGGAAGUACAUUGCGAAACUAUGAAUUGCUUUGGUCACAAUCCUUGGCAGUUUCCUUUUAGUGUUCAUCCGCUUGUUCACAAGUGCUUUUUGCGUUUGAGCUUUCUUUCUACUAUUUUUAAUUCAUUAUGGAAUUUAGUACUAGAGAAUUGUUUGGUCGCCUCGAGUUGAAUACAAUCUAUAUUAUGCUAAGAUUUAUUUACUCUGUUGUUUACUU